rnacentral:rRNA from 1 species
UACGUAGGGACCAAGCGUUGUUCGGAUUUACUGGGCGUAAAGGGCGCGUAGGCGGCAAUUCAAGUCAUCUGUGAAAUCUCCGAGCUUAACUCGGAACGGUCAGAUGAUACUGCUUUGCUAGAGUGCAGAAGGGGCAACCGGAAUUCUUGGUGUAGCGGUGAAAUGCGUAGAUAUCGAGAGGAACACCUGCGGCGAAGGCGGGUUGCUGGGCUGAUACUGACGCUGAGGCGCGAAAGCCAGGGGAGCGAACGGG